GUGUCAGCAGCCGCGGUAAAACGUAGGUGGCAAGCGUUAUCCGGAUUUACUGGGCGUAAAGCGUGUGCAGGCGGAUGGCCAAGUGGUGUAUGAAAGCUCCAGGCUUAACCUGGAGAGGUUAUGCCAGACUGGCCGUCUUGAGGCAGAGAGAGGGACAUGGAAUUCCGGGUGUAGUGGUGAAAUGCGUAGAGAUCCGGAGGAACUCCAGAGGCGAAGGCGGUGUCCUGGCUCUGACCUGACGCUCAGACACGAAAGCAUGGGGAGCGAACGGGAUUAGAAACCCCGGUAGUCCAUGCCGUAAACGAUGCAGACUAGGCGUCGGCGGUCUCAACCCCGUCGGUGCCGAAGCAAACGCGAUAAGUCUGCCGCCUGGGGACUACGACCGCAAGGUUAAA
rnacentral:rRNA from 1 species